GGGUCUAUAGGUAUCUAUGGGGGAUCUAUGGGGUCUAUGGGGAUCUAUGGGGUCUAUGGGGGAUCUAUGGGGUCUAUGGGGAUCUAUGGGGGAUCUACGGGGUCUAUGGGGUCUAUGGGGUCUAUGGGGUUGUGGGUCCCGCUCUGACCCCACACUUUUUCUCCCCCCAACAGUGAAGGCGUCGGAGCUGACCAGGGCACAACCGGUGUGCGGCCGCCCCAUGGCUGUGGGGCUGACCCGUAACGUGGGGGGUGAGGACGCCAUGGCUGGUCAAUGGCCAUAGAACCCCAUAGAGCCCCAUAGAACCCCAUAGAGCNCCCAUAGAACCCCAUAGAGCCCCAUAGAGCCCCAUAGAGCCCCAUAGAGACCCAUAGAACCCCAUAGAGCCCCAUAGAGCCCCAUAGAGACCCAUAGAGACCCAUAGAACCCCAUAGAGACCCAUAGAGACCCAUAGAGCCCCAUAGAGACCCAUAGAGACCCAUAGAGCCCCAUAGAGACCCAUAGAGACCCAUAGAACCCCAUAGAGCCCCAUAGAGCCCCAUAGAGACUCAUAGAGCCCCAUAGAGACCCCAUAGAGACCCAUAGAGACCCAUAGAGACCCAUAGAACCCCAUAGAGACCCAUAGAGCCCCAUAGAACCCCAUAGAGCCCCAUAGAGCCCCAUAGAGACCCCAUAGAAGCCCCAUAGAGCCCCAUAGAACCCCAUAGAGACCCAUAGAACCCCAUAGAGACCCAUAGAGACCCAUAGAACCCCAUAGAGCCCCAUAGAGACCCAUAGAGACCCAUAGAACCCCAUAGAGACCCCAUAGGGCCUCAUAGAUCCCAUAGAACCCCAUAGAGACCCCAUAGAGACCCACAGAGACCCCAUAGAGACCCCAUAGGGCCUCAUAGAUCCCAUAGAACCCCAUAGAGACCCCAUAGAGACCCACAGAGACCCCAUAGAGACCCCAUAGAGCCCCCAAUGAUCCCAUAGAGACCCCAUAGAGACCCCAUAGAGCCCCGUAGAGCCCCAUACAGCCCCAUACAGCCCCAUAGAGAUCCAUAGGGCCCCAUAGAGCCCCAUAGAGUCCCAUAGAGCCCCAUAGAGACCCCAUAGAGCCCCAUAGUACCCCAUAGAGACCCAUAGACACCCAUAGAGACCCAUGGACACCCAUAGAGCCCCAUAGACACCCACAGAGCCCCAUAGAACCCCAUAGAGACCCCAUAGAACCCCAUAGUGACCCCAUAGAGACCCCAUAGAGCCCCAUAGAGGCCCCAUAGAGAUACAUAGUACCACAUAGUGAC
rnacentral:lncRNA from 1 species